rnacentral:rRNA from 1 species
GGAUUAGAUACCCUGGUAGUCCACGCCCUAAACGAUGUCUACUAGUUGUCGGGUCUUAAUUGACUUGGUAACGCAGCUAACGCGUGAAGUAGACCGCCUGGGGAGUACGGUCGCAAGAUUAAAACUCAAAGGAAUUGACGGGGACCCGCACAAGCGGUGGAUGAUGUGGAUUAAUUCGAUGCAACGCGAAAAACCUUACCUACCCUUGACAUGGAUGGAAUCCCGAAGAGAUUUGGGAGUGCUCGAAAGAGAACCAUCACACAGGUGCUGCAUGGCUGUCGUCCGUGCCGCUGU